GUGAGGAAGGAGGAGUCAGUGCUGUGAAGAGAUGCCCAUGAGAAAUCACCAAGAAGGAGUGUGUUGUACAUUUCCUAAGUGAAUGAGGAGCCAAAACAAAGGCAGGGAUUUCCUGGGACCUCCCUGGUGAGAACCUGCCCAGAGAGCAUCACCCAGACCCUGCUCCAUCCAAGCAGUUUUCCAGCUUCUCCUGGCAGCCCAAAUUCCUGCUUUUGGGAAAAGAAACUGGUGCUGUCUGGCCAUGCCAUGUGACAAGGGACAUGUCACCCUCCCUGCUCCCAGCCCCAGCCCAGCUCUCUCUCAUGUGAAACUCAUCAAGGCAGAGGAGGCCCAGCAGGAAGCUGCUCCUUCUAGAAUGCAUUUUACUGACAAAGCCGACCAUAUCAUUCCCAGACAGGAUCCUAAACACAUUUUUCACAGGAAUGAGCUUCCACUGACUGCCUGUGCUUUGAUAAUGGAACUCCACCUUCAGAAGUGGCCGGCAGUCUGAUCCCAUUCUGGCUUCACUCCCACAGUCUCCCAACACUUUUUAAAGCAGAGAAGAAUUUGUAAUACUUCAGUUUUUUCAAAGAUUUUCCUUGACUGUCAGCUGAGAGAAUUCUCAAACUCCUGUGCCAGCACACUUUAAAUGAGGGGGUUUGUUUAUAUCCUUUUGUGAAUUAAUUAAUUAUUGAGAUUACUUUCCAAUUUUAACAAGCUUUCUAGUAAUUACUAGCCACUGCUUGGCAAACUCUGAAGUGGCUCUGAGUUCGAGCUCAGUUCAGAUAAACACACAAAAGUUCAGAUGCUUAUCCAGCUGCUUCUUCAGUCUGCAGAACACGUCUGGAAGCCUAUCGAGCUCCCCAUCUCUCUGCUCCCACAUGCCAAGUCAUGCCAAGAAUUCUCCAGUUGCACUUUUUUCAUGGUGCUUUUGCCUGCCUGGCUGUGGUGCUGUGCAGAACCAAAGGUUCUGAAAGGGGAGAUGAGGGUGAGGCUUUGAGGAAGUUCCUCCCUCAGAGCACAGCUUCAAGAACCUGCCAAGAAGCUGUGGAGUGACCCAGUCCUUGCCAAAGGGCAGCAACAACAAAGCAUUUAAACCCACCUAAACCUCAUGGGCUGGCAUCACAAAGAAUUGGAACCCAUCUAAACCUCAUGGACUGGCACCACAAAAAAAUUAAAUCCAUCUAAACCUCAUGGGCUGGCUUCAUAAAUAAUUUAAACCCACCCAAACCUCAUGGGCUGGCAUCACAAACAAUUUGAACCCACCUAAAUUUCAUGGGCUGGCAUCAUAAAGAAUUUAAACCCACCUAAACUUCAUGGAUUGGCAUCACAAAAAAUUUAAACCCACUUAAACCUCAUUGGCUGGCAUCACAUAAAAAUUGAACCCAUUUAAACCUUGUGGACUGGCACCACAAAGAAUUUAAACCCACCUAAACUUCAUGGGCUGGCACCACAAAGAAUUUAAACCCACCUAAACCUCAUGGGCUGGCACCACAAAGAAUUUGAAACCAUCUCAACCUCAUGGGCUGGCAUCAGAAAGAAUUUAAACCAACCUAAACCUCAUGGACUGGCACCACAAAGAAUUUAAACUCACCUAAACCUCAUGGGCAGGCACUACAAAUAAUUUAAACCCAUCUAAACCUUCCUCCACACCAUUACAUGUCCCUCUUUCAGCUAGGAUUUGGUGCCCCAAAUUGAUUUGAAAUGUCUUGGUGCCCCCUGCUCCAAGCACUGCCUCUCUUUUUGCCUUUAACUCCCUCUUAGACACCAGACACUGAGCUGAAAUCCCCUGGAUUAAGAAGCUCCUCUGGGUUCAGGAGGAUUCACAAGGAUGCUUGCAGCACACCUCAAGCAGGUCCAGGCUCCUCACCAAAGCUACUCAGGAGGAUUUAAUUUUAAAUAAUGCCCCAGCACAUCCA